rnacentral:sRNA from 1 species
UGACCAUCCUCACGAGAGGAGAACUGUUCUUCAGUCACAGAUAUAUGAGUAGCUGCGCUCCCCUGCCAGAAUCUCUACACACACUCUCAAGAUCCAUUUGCAGGAGAACGUGGGGCAGUCAAGCCCCAAGACUCCACACACCCAAAUGAGGUGCAGCGUGUGGCAGUCUGCCUUUCAU